UUUCGCAAUGCCCGAAAGGGUGACGAAGCGACGCCGCGUGGGUGAGGAAGGCCUUCGGGUUGUAAAGCCCUGUCAGGAGUUAUGAAAUGUAAGUGCGCUAAUAUUGUGCUUAUUUGACAAAGGCUCCAAAGGAAGCCACGGCUAACUCUGUGCCAGCAGCCGCGGUAAUACAGAGGUGGCGAGCGUUGUUCGGAAUUAUUGGGCGUAAAGAGCACGUAGGUGGGUUUGCAAGUCAGAUGUGAAAGCCUUCUGUUCAACGGAAGAAUUGCAUCUGAAACUGCUAAUCUUGAGUAUAGGAGGGGAGAAUGGAACUUCUGGUGGAGCGGUGAAAUGCGUAGAUAUCAGAAGGAACGCCGGCGGCGAAAGCGAUUCUCUGGCCUAUUACUGACACUCAGUGUGCGAAAGCUAGGGGAGCAAACGGGAUUAGAUACCCCGGUAGUCCUAGCCGUAAACGAUGGGCACUAAGUAGAGGGGUUUUA
rnacentral:rRNA from 1 species